AGAAAGGAGACCAGGACAAUCAAAUUUAAAAUGAAAACUACAGCUUCAGGACACUAGCCUAGUUUAAUUUUUUUUUCUGUCUCCUCCCAGAACAAAAUAAGCCUGGGCAAUUUCCGUUCACCUAUAAACAGACCACCUUCUCCCCUGCAAGGGAUGAUGAAGGAGAAACACCUACCUGAGCAGAGCUGUUUACCUUGGUGUCUGGAAGGCCUAUAGUCCCUCUGUCAUCCUCCCCAUCCUGCUAUGUGUCAUAAUUGUGGUAGUGACUGAAUAAGAAGGGAGUGAUUGACUCUGCCCAGGGGAACCAGAAGUCCUCCCUGCAGAAGCAGUAUUUCAGCUGAG
rnacentral:lncRNA from 1 species